rnacentral:rRNA from 1 species
UACGGGGGGGGUAAGCGUUGUUCGGAAUUACUGGGCGUAAAGGGCUCGUAGGCGGCCAACUAAGUCGGACGUGAAAUCCCUCAGCUUAACUGGGGAACUGCGUCCGAUACUGGAUGGCUUGGAUUUGGGAGAGGGAAGCGGAAUUCCGGGUGUAGCGGUGAAAUGCGUAGAUAUCCGGAGGAACACCGGUGGCGAAGGCGGCUUCCUGGACCGACACUGACGCUGAGGCGCGAAAGCUAGGGGAGCAAACGGG